CUCUCCUCUGAGUUGAAGUAGACGCGCGAGUGGCGAUACGUUUUAGAGAGAUAACAGAACCCACGCCAAAAUAAACAAAGACUGAAUUAAACUGAAGCUGAAGUUGAGGCUGGAAAUAGAGAGAGCGAAAGAAAAUACUAAAAAAAGAAGAAAGACAGUGAAUGAAAGUUAUAAAUAAUGAAAAUGUGGCGAAUGAGAAGUACCUUGAUGUCACACGCAUCCUUUAUUGCAACUGUGAUCGUGAUUGGAAUUAUGUUGACGUUGAAUAAUGUGAGAGAGGUCACCGAUGACCUCGACCUUGCCAUCCGCAUCCGAGGGCCCCUGGCAGGAGACGACCCUCGCCUCCUGUCGUACCUGAAGGAGCACUUCCUCGACCCGCCCUCGAGGCUGCCCUACAACCUGU
rnacentral:lncRNA from 1 species